GGUGAAGAAGGGAAAGAAGGGAAAGAUGGAAAGCCGGGCCCUCCUGGAAAACCAGGUCCUCCAGGAGAACCAGGCCUUCAAGGACAAGAUGGUGCCAGAGGACUUCCUGGAUUUAAGGGACACACAGGAGACUCUGGUCCACCUGGCCCUAGGGGUGAGCCAGGAACACCAGGCCCUGCAGGGAGGGAAGGGUCACCAGGGAAAGAUGGUGACACUGGACCCAUAGGGCCCCCGGGUACUCGAGGACUUAGAGGAGCACCGGGUAAAAAUGGAUCACCCGGCUCUCCCGGAGACCCUGGCCAACCAGGUAACCCAGGGCAGAAAGGAAACAAAGGUGAUAAUGGCAGCCCAGGUCUUCCAGGAUUCCAAGGACCUCGGGGACCUCCGGGAGAACAAGGAGAAAAAGGCAUUCCAGGAAAAGAGG